rnacentral:lncRNA from 1 species
AAGAGCCUCAAAAUGAGCCAUAAGAUCUCAGAUAAGAAGUGAUGGUGAUAAAACAUCAAAAAGUGAAUGGAACACCUUGAUUGGGGAAGAUAUGCAAAUACUUUGAUCUAAGAAUUGAAAUGUAUCAAGAAUUUAUAUUUUGCCUGCAGGAAAAUUCAAAAGCUACUCAUCCUCUCUAUAAUUUGGAGUCAUCUUACUAAUGAAAAUAAUGUUUUCCCAUAUAUUAUUAAAAAGCAUACAGUCUAAAUAAUAAACAGUUGUAAAAUAAUGAAGGUAGAAAUUAUAACACUAGGGAAAAAUUUGUAGCGGAUGGCAGUGUUGAAGGCAAAUGUAAACAUAAGGGUAAUGGUCUGUCAUGGCUUUUAGAAAAAGAUGAUCGAGUUCAUUAUUUUGCCUUCAUCUUUGUUAAGGACAGAAAAUUCCCUGACAGGUGGGCAAGUAUCAGGUUACCUAUUUUUUAUUCCUUUGGUACAAAAGGGUUGAACGUCAGGCUAAAAAAGCAGCCAUGCAUUUAUUAUUAAACAUUUUCUACCGACAAGGCACUGUGCUAGGUACUGUAAUCCUACCAUAAGUAGGUAGGUAUUUCUUCCACUGUAAAUCAUAGGGGUUUGCUGUUUUAUGUGAGUUAGCCUCUUCCCCUUGUCUGAGCAUUCCUCAGGGGAGGUCACCUGUGAGGUUCCCAGAACUGUAGUUUUUUUUUACCAGGGUGUUGUAUUUGGAGGGGGAGGAGGACUCGGCUCAAAAGAGCUAGCUGGCUCUCCAGUGUUGAGAGGUUUUGAGGUGGCAUAUUUGGAAGACGGCUGGGAUGACAGAAUUCUUGUAUCAGAGUAGGUAAGAAGGGAGCAACCUCUCAAUGGCUAUUAUGUCAUGCUUUUUAAGAUCGUAUGCGGUUCCUAUAUACAAGGAAGCUUCCCUGUGGUAGAUUUGUCAUAAAUGCCAAAGAUAUUUGGUAAUGUGAGUGUAGAAAAAGUAGUAUUAGGGUUGGCAAAUACUGUUUUUGUCUUGGCAGCUCUAAUAUCUGCAUUGUUCAGAAAGGAUUCUGAGGCUAAGGCAAAGCUCUGUGGGAAAAAGGGACUGGACCAAAAAAAACUGGAUGGUGGCACACAAGAAGAGGAAAUGAUGAGAUGUGUACUUUCUAUCUCUGGUUAGGCUUAGUCCCCACUAGACAAAUUGAUUUUAAAUACUAUGUAGUGAUUUUUAAAUUCCAUCCACACAUUCAUUACCCACACAGAUAAUCAUAGAAAUUUGGGGGAGUGCCUAGCUUCUGAUGAAGUGAUAUGGCAGUUGCCAAGCAGUGGCAUCGCCAGAGUAUCUGUUUGGUUAGCAAAUGAGCAGUCAUUUUAGGUCAUGCAGAUUGCUGAUAUCUGCCCAGUAGCCACUGAGCAUUUGCUGGUUUUUUCUUCUGGCUUUCUUGGAGGUUAAGCUCUCUGUAGUCAUACCCAGUUGGUACUUGAUCUUUAGCAAUAUGUCUCAUAUUCAUGUAAAUUGAAGGGAGGGUUACAUGUACUGAAAUAAUCUGCAUGCUAGGCAUUGGCUUAGACACCGUACCUAUCUCACUUAGAUUUGUGGACUAGGAAAGCAAGAUUCAGAGAUCAUGUGACUUGCAUGUGGCCUAGAGAUAAAAUUCAAAUCUGGUUCUGUAGACUCCAGGGACAUAUUCACCAUGCCAUGGGUGGUGGCUAUUAAACCUUGAUAAAUUUGUGUUUAUGGUUAACAAAUGUGAAAGCUAUUAAACAUUGCUGGUUUGAAUUUUUUACAGUGCAGAAAUGUAAAAUGAAAAAGGAUAUUUCCUUUCACAGUGUUACCCAGAAGUCAUGAUAAUUUUGUUUGUUCUUCCAGAUUUAGGCAUAUACUUAUUUAAUCAAUAAUGUGUUAAUAGCUGACACCUGUGGUUGCUGUGACAGGCACUAUUUGAAGUGCUUUAUCAUGGAUUAACUCUUAAUCCUCAGCUACCGUAUAAAGUAGGACAUAACCCCAUUUCACAUGCACUACACUGAGACUUGCCUCCUCUCCCCCCACAUUGAAGAUGUUCUUUUUUCAUAACUAUAUACUAUUCCAUUGCAUGAAUAUUCUGUAAUUUAUUUAAUCCCCUAUGGAUUGAUAAUUAGGUUCAUUAUAGAUAGAAGUGUAAUUAACAUUCCUGUACAUGUAUUUUGCUACUUGUGUGGGUAUUUCUGUAGGAUGAAUAACUAGAAAUUUAUUGGAUCAGGUUUCACAUUUGCAGUUUUGAAAACUACUACCAAAAAGAUUUCACCAAUUUACAACUCCAUCAUUAGUAAGAAUGCCUGUUUGCCUAUAGUCUGCCAACCCUGAAUCCUUAAAAAUUUUUGCCAAUCUGGUAGGCAAAAUUUCUUUCUUUUCUUUGAAUAUUAAUGAGGAGGAACAUCUUUUCAUGUUUCUUGGCCAUUUGCAUUUCCUAUUAUGAAUUGCUUUUGCCCAUUUUCCUUUUUUUAAUUAUGAAAGUCUAAUGACUACCUUCUCAUUGUAUAAAAAACACAGUUCUUUGAAUAGAGAGACCCUUUUCUCCAAUGCUACCAAUCACAUUCCACUUACCACAGUUUAACAUACAUCCUCUAGUCACCUUUCCG